UUUACAACGCUGUAUGUAGCUGGUUGACAUCGGGUCAGAUCUGUUAUUCUGAAGCAUUUGGUCCCCUUCAACCAGCUGUAGCAGUGCUUGAUG
rfam:Drosophila busckii chromosome 2L sequence.